rnacentral:rRNA from 1 species
AGUGAACGCUGGCGGUAGGCCUAACACAUGCAAGUCGAACGGCAGCACAGUAAGAGCUUGCUCUUACGGGUGGCGAGUGGCGGACGGGUGAGGAAUACAUCGGAAUCUACUUUUUCGUGGGGGAUAACGUAGGGAAACUUACGCUAAUACCGCAUACGACCUACGGGUGAAAGCCGGGGAUCUUCGGACCUUGCGCGAUUGAAUGAGCCGAUGUCGGAUUAGCUAGUUGGCGGGGUAAAGGCCCACCAAGGCGACGAUCCGUAGCUGGUCUGAGAGGAUGAUCAGCCACACUGGAACUGAGACACGGUCAAGACUCCUACGGGAGGCAGCAGUGGGGAAUAUUGGACAAUGGGCGAAAGCCUGAUCCAGCCAUACCGCGUGGGUGAAGAAGGCCUUCGGGUUGUAAAGCCCUUUUGUUGGGAAAGAAAAGCAGCUGGUUAAUACCCCGCUGUUCUGACGGUACCCAAAGAAUAAGCACCGGCUAACUUCGUG